AUUGAACGCUGGCGGCAGGCCUAACACAUGCAAGUCGAGCGGCAGCGGGAAAGUAGCUUGCUACUUUUGCCGGCGAGCGGCGGACGGGUGAGUAAUGCCAGGGAAAUUGCCCAGUCGAGGGGGAUAACAGUUGGAAACGACUGCUAAUACCGCAUACGCCCUACGGGGGAAAGCAGGGGACCUUCGGGCCUUGCGCGAUUGGAUAUGCCCAGGUGGGAUUAGCUAGUUGGUGAGGUAAUGGCUCACCAAGGCGACGAUCCCUAGCUGGUCUGAGAGGAUGAUCAGCCACACUGGAACUGAGACACGGUCCAGACUCCUACGGGAGGCAGCAGUGGGGAAUAUUGCACAAUGGGGGAAACCCUGAUGCAGCCAUGCCGCGUGUGUGAAGAAGGCCUUCGGGUUGUAAAGCACUUUCAGCGAGGAGGAAAGGUUGGCGCCUAAUACGUGUCAACUGUGACGUUACUCGCAGAAGAAGCACCGGCUAGCUCCGUGCCAGCAGCCGCGGUAACAC
rnacentral:rRNA from 1 species